rnacentral:rRNA from 1 species
AUUGAACGCUGGCGGCAUGCUUUACACAUGCAAGUCGAACGGUAACAGGCCUUCGGGCGCUGACGAGUGGCGAACGGGUGAGUAAUGCAUCGGAACGUGCCCAGUCGUGGGGGAUAACGCAGCGAAAGCUGUGCUAAUACCGCAUACGAUCUGCGGAUGAAAGCGGGGGACCUUCGGGCCUCGCGCGAUUUGAGUGGCCGAUGUCAGAUUAGGUAGUUGGUGGGGUAAAGGCUCACCAAGCCAACGAUCUGUAGCUGGUCUGAGAGGACGACCAGCCACACUGGGACUGAGACACGGCCCAGACUCCUACGGGAGGCAGCAGUGGGGAAUUUUGGACAAUGGGCGCAAGCCUGAUCCAGCAAUGCCGCGUGCAGGAAGAAGGCCUUCGGGUUGUAAACUGCUUUUGUACGGAGCGAAAAGGCUCCCUCUAAUACAGGGGGCUCAUGACGGUACCGUAAGAAUAAGCACCGGCUAACUACGUGCCAGCCGCCGCAGUAAUAC